rnacentral:tRNA from 1 species
AUUCAAAUAGCUUAAUUAAAGAGCGCAAUAUUGAAGAUAUUGAGGUAAUAGUAUAUUUUUGAGUA